rnacentral:rRNA from 1 species
AGAGUUUGAUCCUGGCUCAGAUUGAACGCUGGCGGCAGGCCUAACACAUGCAAGUCGAACGGUAACAGGAAGAAGCUUGCUUCUUUGCUGACGAGUGGCGGACGGGUGAGUAAUGUCUGGGAAACUGCCUGAUGGAGGGGGAUAACUACUGGAAACGGUAGCUAAUACCGCAUAACGUCGCAAGACCAAAGAGGGGGACCUUCGGGCCUCUUGCCAUCGGAUGUGCCCAGAUGGGAUUAGCUAGUAGGUGGGGUAACGGCUCACCUAGGCGACGAUCCCUAGCUGGUCUGAGAGGAUGACCAGCCACACUGGAACUGAGACACGGUCCAGACUCCUACGGGAGGCAGCAGUGGGGAAUAUUGCACAAUGGGCGCAAGCCUGAUGCAGCCAUGCCGCGUGUAUGAAGAAGGCCUUCGGGUUGUAAAGUACUUUCAGCGGGGAGGAAGGGAGUAAAGUUAAUACCUUUGCUCAUUGACGUUACCCGCAGAAGAAGCACCGGCUAACUCCGUGCCAGCAGCCGCGGUAAUACGGAGGGUGCAAGCGUUAAUCGGAAUUACUGGGCGUAAAGCGCACGCAGGCGGUUUGUUAAGUCAGAUGUGAAAUCCCCGGGCUCAACCUGGGAACUGCAUCUGAUACUGGCAAGCUUGAGUCUCGUAGAGGGGGGUAGAAUUCCAGGUGUAGCGGUGAAAUGCGUAGAGAUCUGGAGGAAUACCGGUGGCGAAGGCGGCCCCCUGGACGAAGACUGACGCUCAGGUGCGAAAGCGUGGGGAGCAAAAAGGAUUAGAUACCCUGGUAGUCCACGCCGUAAA